rnacentral:rRNA from 1 species
ACAGAGGGGGCAAGCGUUAUUCGGAAUUAUUGGGCGUAAAGGGCGCGUAGGCGGCCUGGCAAGUGGAAGGUGAAAUCCCUCGGCUUAACCGAGGAACUGCCUCCCAAACUGCUUGGCUCGAGACCGGGAGAGGUGAGUGGAAUUCCCAGUGUAGCGGUGAAAUGCGUAGAUAUCGUCUGGAACGCCAAAGGUGAAAACAGACUGCUGGGAGUGUGCUGACGCUGAGACACGAAAGCCAGGGGAGCGAACGGGA